UACGGAGGAUGCAAGCGUUAUCCGGAAUGAUUGGGCGUAAAGCGUCCGCAGGUGGCUAUGUAAGUCUGCUGUUAAAGAGCAAAGCUUAACUUUGUAAAAGCAGUGGAAACUACAUAGCUAGAGUGCGUUCGGGGCAGAGGGAAUUCCUGGUGUAGCGGUGAAAUGCGUAGAGAUCAGGAAGAACGCCGGUGGCGAAGGCGCUCUGCUAGGCCGCAACUGACACUGAGGGACGAAAGCUAGGGGAGCGAAUGGG
rnacentral:rRNA from 1 species